rnacentral:rRNA from 1 species
UACGUAGGGGGCAAGCGUUGUCCGGAAUCAUUGGGCGUAAAGCGCGUGUAGGCGGCUGGCUAAGUCCGCUCUGAAAGCCCGGGGCUCAACCCCGGGAGGCGGGUGGAUACUGGUCAGCUCGAGUCCGGAAGAGGAGUGUGGAAUUCCUGGUGUAGCGGUGAAAUGCGCAGAUAUCAGGAGGAACACCAAUGGCGAAGGCAGCACUCUGGGACGGUACUGACGCUGAGACGCGAAAGCGUGGGGAGCGAACAGG